ACACUCAAGAUAGAAGUUAAGGGUUGUAAUGGGGCUUGGGGUGUUGGUUAACAAGGAAAGGAUAAGGAAAACAAACGUUCUUCAAGCAAUAGUAAGCAAAGCAAUGAAAUUGAGACUUAGAAUUCACUUAGAGUGCAGAAAUUAACUUUAAAACACAAGGGAAAGAUUUAAACAACUCCUUAGGGCCGAAUUCAUUGUUUUGGACCCUUACUUCAACAAACAAUACUUUGGAACUCUUUUUCUCAACUUUUCUUCAUUUUUUUUUUUUUUUCCACAAUUUUUUUUCUUUUUCUUUUCUUUGCCGUGCCUAUGGCACACAAUUCCUCAUGAAAAAACACUUCCCCCACACUUAUUUUCUGCCAACAUAAAUCAAAAGGGAAUUCAAUUUGAAUCAUGCUUUACUAUGCUUUAAGAACAAGGUAUGGAUGGUCCUAAUCUAGGCUAGGUGAGGAGAACAUGGGUUAACAAUUAACGAAGGCUAACAAGGCUCAAUGGGGUUAAAAACCUACAAAACAUAAUGACAUAGGGGAUUCAUGGCUUUUUGGCUAGGGUGGUGGUCACUACACAACUUCAUCUUGAAUAUGUGUUAUGCAAAUCAAUAACAUGCUUUGAAUGAAAUGGGCAUGAGUUCUAGCAUUUGGAACUAAAUGAUGAAACGCCUUCUAAGUAGCAACCAAGCAAAGAAUAAUGAGAUCAUGCAACGACUUAGAAAACAAAGAAUGCACAGAUUUUCACUCUCCAAAUAAACGUUAGGCUCAAGUCUCACAAGGUUGUAGCGUUAGUUUAAGUUCCUUCCUUCAAACAUGUUACAAAAACUGAUUUUUUCUUUUAUGAUUGCAUGUGAAUUCAUAAGUUAUAACCACAACUAAGCAUAAACAAAGAGUAAAUCAAACUUUCAUCCAUGUUAGUCACUUUCUUUAACAGCCAUGUAAUUACAAACCGAAUCCUCAUCAUUGUGUUGGAAGGUACCCUAAAACACAAACAAACACACAAAAACAACUCUUUUUGGGUUUUUAAAACAAAUUUUUCAAAUUUUUAUGUAAUUUUCGGAUUUUUACUUCAAAACACACUAAAACACAUCAAAAUUGCUCAAAAACACUUAAAAACAGCAAGGAACAAGUCUUCAAGUUUAGGGUGAUAAAAUCCCACGAAUUUGCAUCUAAAACACUUAGUUACCCCCCCACACUUAAAUCAAACAUUGUCCUCAAUGUUUCAAGCAUGAAAUCACACUAAACAAAAAGAAACACACAAACAGCAACUAAAACAACUAAAUAGGCAGAUUCAAACUAAAUAACAAAGGGAAGAGUUUAGGAACGCAAAUCUGGAAUUGGAGUGAUUCCAUGGGCUUCCUUUGUUGAAUUGCAUGGGCUGCCUCCCAAGUAGCGCUUUCUUUUACGUCUUGCAGCCGGACGAAGCUCCUUUGAAGGUUAUUGAACCCCACGGCAUGGAGGGGUGUUUCCUCUACACCUUGUCCUUCGAACCACUUCAUGCAUUGGGUCCUUGAAUGGAAUGGGAUAAUGAUCCUUUCGUAGUGUCGUGUUGUGCUUCUCUAAAUCAACACGAACUCUCCCACCAUAUUGCCUUUGAUUAGGUACCUGCACCAUACAAGGUAACAACCGAUUAGUUGAAAUGGAAAUUGAAAUUGGAUCAGGUGGCUUACCUAGGUGCGGCAUAGGAGUGGGAGUACAAUGGACAGAUGCACAAAGGUUGCACUCGGCCAAAUUUGGUGAUUUCAAGGUUGAGGCCGUGCAUUCUUUGUUGCUCACUCCAAUUCCCUCCGCGAUGGUAGUUCGAGGUGCAUUCUUCUUGACUAGUGUUGAACAUGCCUGCCCUAUAUUUUCAAUUACAUUAAUGGCACAACAAGAACGAACAUCAUUUAGUAUUCUCAAUUGAUUCAGGAAUCUUAAAGUUAAUCAUAUCACCACCAAAGGUCAUAGUUACGGCUCCC
rnacentral:lncRNA from 1 species